GGAGUUUGGUCCGUGUCUCAGUACCAAUGUGGGGGACCUUCCUCUCAGAACCCCUACUGAUCGAUGGCUUGGUGGGCCGUUACCCCGCCAACAACCUAAUCAGACGCAUCCCCAUCCCAUAGCGAUGAAUCUUUGCUCCUCGUCAGAUGCCAUCAAAGGAGAACAUAGGGCAUUAAUCCGACUUUCGCCGGGCUAUUCCCUACUAUGGGCCAGGUUGGAUACGCGUUACUCACCCGUGCGCCGGUCGUCAGCAAGAAAAGCAAGCUUUCCUCCUGUUACCCCUCGACUUGCAUGUGUUAAGCCUGUAGCUAGCGUUCAUC
rnacentral:rRNA from 1 species